GUUGUUGCGAGUGGCGCACCCAAAGGAGGUCCUCAAUGAUCUUGCCAUCACAGUCUUAGUGGAGUGGCCACAUUUCCUAAAUAUUUGUGUUAACAAAUGCCAUGAAGAAGGGACUGGCCCUCUGAAAAGUCCUCCUCAGAAUUAUGAUUCCCAUGGAGUUUGCGUCACCGAACAUCUGAGCUGGGAUUAUGCUAAUCACUUCAGACAAACAUCUGCGGAGAUUUGUUUGAGGUUCUCCAGCGGAGAUUUCACAGUCAUAAAAUAGCCGACUGGGACGCGUUCUCGAAAAUCAGCUUGUCUGUCGUUGUAUCUGGUGCCUAAAAGGCGCUCCUCUCCACCGACAUCUACCAUCAAGGCAAUCGGAGGACCUCCCAGACUGGGUCUAUAUAAUAACCUGCAAGGUUGCUAAGGCAUAAAUCACCCGGCGCCCUGCCAAGUUUCCUUUGUAACUUGUUUUUUGGCGUUACCAACUCAUGACGGGCAGAUCAGAAGCACAUCAGAAAACGUCAGUGGAGCAAUAAUUAGGAACAGCGUCAGGCAUCUGGGCCCAUUUUGAUAAUGUGAGCUCAUGGCUUUCUUGCUCUUGGAUAAACAGGGAAGCCUGGUCUCUGGAAACCACAGAGGACUAAUUUGUUUUUCUCACUUGUAUCUAGGCGAAAGUAUUAUUAAAUCAAAGUC
rnacentral:lncRNA from 1 species